GAAGUCGGUCAGACAGUCGCUGCCUGGUAACAGGGAGAGGAAAGUCCGGGCUCCACAGAGCAGGAUGCCGGUUAACGGCCGGCCGCCGUGAGGUGAGGAACAGGGCCACAGAGACGAGCGUAUUAAGUUACGGUGAAACGCGGUAACCUCCAUCCGGAGCAAGAUCAAAUAGGCAGAUGAUGACGCUGCUCGCCGAGUCUGUGGGUAGAUCGCUUGAGCAUACGGGUAACGGUAUGCCUAGAGGAAUGACUGUCCAUGACAGAACCCGGCUUAUCGACCGGCUUCCCCC
rnacentral:RNase_P_RNA from 17 species